GCUGAAUUGCGAUAGUGGUUUAUUCGGCGAGACUUGAAUUUCAUCUCGAUAUAUUGUUGAUCUCGUGCCGUCAGGCUCGCAGGUUCGAACCCUGCAUUCAGCU